UACGUAGGGUGCGAGCGUUAAUCGGAAUUACUGGGCGUAAAGCGUGCGCAGGCGGUUUUGUAAGCCAGAUGUGAAAUCCCCGGGCUUAACCUGGGAAUGGCAUUUGGGACUGCAAGGCUCGAGUGCGGCAGAGGAGACUGGAAUUCCUGGUGUAGCAGUGAAAUGCGUAGAUAUCAGGAGGAACACCGAUGGCGAAGGCAGGUCUCUGGGCUGACACUGACGCUCAUGCACGAAAGCGUGGGGAGCAGACAGG
rnacentral:rRNA from 1 species